GAAAGCGUUCCUAUACGACUCAAUUGAAUCAUAAAAGAGCGAAUAAUCACAUUAGGGGUUUGACAUGAUAUAUCCAUACCCUAGUAAUGUGAUUGAGAGUAUUGUUUUAGAGAAGGAUCGAAUUACAUUGUAAUUCCAAUUGAAUAGGUUCUCCGAACAACUUCUACAUUAGCUUGGGUAGCUAUGACAUAUGGUUAGAUGUCACUCAUAGC
rnacentral:lncRNA from 1 species